rnacentral:rRNA from 1 species
UACGAAGGGGGCUAGCGUUGCUCGGAAUUACUGGGCGUAAAGGGCGCGUAGGCGGCGCACCAAGUCAGGCGUGAAAUUCCUGGGCUCAACCUGGGGGCUGCGCUUGAGACUGGUGUGCUUGAGGAUGGAAGAGGCUCGUGGAAUUCCCAGUGUAGAGGUGAAAUUCGUAGAUAUUGGGAAGAACACCGGUGGCGAAGGCGGCGAGCUGGUCCAUUACUGACGCUGAGGCGCGACAGCGUGGGGAGCAAACAGG